CCGCUGCCGCGCUGUCUGACGACUCCGCCCUGCCGCGCGCCGAGAUGUCGUGCAUGAGCUCGGUGCCCGGCCAGCAGCACGCGCAUGCGCAGCCCACGUCUCCCGGCGUCGCCACCUACCCGCAGCACCAGCUGUCGCCCACCGUCAUGGCUGCAGGAGAGGGCGCGGCUUCGCGUGCCGAGGCGCCGCCGGUGCCGGUGAGCAGCGUGUCGUCCCCG